rnacentral:rRNA from 2 species
UGGGGAAUAUUGGACAAUGGGCGCAAGCCUGAUCCAGCCAUGCCGCGUGAGUGAUGAAGGCCUUAGGGUUGUAAAGCUCUUUUGUCCGGGAAGAUAAUGACUGUACCGGAAGAAUAAGCCCCGGCUAACUUCGUGCCAGCAGCCGCGGUAAUACGAAGGGGGCUAGCGUUGUUCGGAAUCACUGGGCGUAAAGCGCACGUAGGCGGACCGUUAAGUCGGAGGUGAAAGCCUGGGGCUCAACCCCAGAACUGCCUUCGAUACUGGCGGUCUUGAGUAUGGUAGAGGUUGGUGGAACUCCGAGUGUAGAGGUGAAAUUCGUAGAUAUUCGGAAGAACACCAGUGGCGAAGGCGGCCAACUGGACCAUUACUGACGCUGGGGUGCGAAAGCGUGGGGAGCAAACA